rnacentral:rRNA from 1 species
AACGAACGCUGGCGGCAUGCCUAACACAUGCAAGUCGAACGAGACCUUCGGGUCUAGUGGCGCACGGGUGCGUAACGCGUGGGAAUCUGCCUUUGCUUCGGAAUAACAGUUAGAAAUGACUGCUAAUACCGGAUGAUGUCUUCGGACCAAAGAUUUAUCGGCAAAGGAUGAGCCCGCGUAGGAUUAGGUAGUUGGUGGGGUAAAGGCCUACCAAGCCGACGAUCCUUAGCUGGUCUGAGAGGAUGAUCAGCCACACUGGGACUGAGACACGGCCCAGACUCCUACGGGAGGCAGCAGUGGGGAAUAUUGGACAAUGGGCGCAAGCCUGAUCCAGCAAUGCCGCGUGAGUGAUGAAGGCC